rnacentral:rRNA from 1 species
CCUACGGGAGGCAGCAGUGGGGAAUUUUCCGCAAUGGGCGAAAGCCUGACGGAGCAACGCCGCGUGAGGGAUGAAGGCCUCUGGGCUGUAAACCUCUUUUCUCAAGGAAGAAGAUCUGACGGUACUUGAGGAAUAAGCCACGGCUAAUUCCGUGCCAGCAGCCGCGGUAAUACGGGAGUGGCAAGCGUUAUCCGGAAUUAUUGGGCGUAAAGCGUCCGCAGGCGGCCCUUCAAGUCUGCUGUUAAAACGUGGAGCUUAACUCCAUCAUGGCAGUGGAAACUGUUGGGCUUGAGUGUGGUAGGGGCAGAGGGGAUUCCCGGUGUAGCGGUGAAAUGCGUAGAUAUCGGGAAGAACACCAGUGGCGAAGGCGCUCUGCUGGGCCAUAACUGACGCUCAUGGACGAAAGCCAGGGGAGCGAAAGGGAUUAGAUACCCCUGUAGUCCUGGCCGUAAACGAUGAACACUAGGUGUCGGGGGAAUCGACCCCCUCGGUGUCGUAGCCAACGCGUUAAGUGUUCCGCCUGGGGAGUACGCACGCAAGUGUGAAACUCAAAGGAAUUGACGGA